AAUUUAACUGAAUCCUUAUUUUUCUCUCAGACCAGAGGUCUCUCUUCUUCACUCAGUCUUUUCCACCGAUAGCAGUGUGUUGGCUGAUACUGUUAGUCAUCAUGGGCCUUCGUAUCCACUUUACCUCUGUCAUUUCUGAAAAUGACGCCAAGCUGAGGGCAGAAAACCAGCAGCUGACAUCCCAAAACCAGCAGCUUAAGGCACGAAACCAGGAGCUGGAGACACAAAUA